rnacentral:rRNA from 1 species
GACGAACGCUGGCGGCGUGCUUAACACAUGCAAGUCGAGCGGUAAGGCCCUUUCGGGGGUACACGAGCGGCGAACGGGUGAGUAACACGUGGGUGACCUGCCCUCAGCUCUGGGAUAAGCCUGGGAAACCGGGUCUAAUACUGGAUAUGACUCCAUGACGCAUGUUGUGGGGUGGAAAGCCUUGUGCGGCUGAGGAUGGGCCCGCGGCCUAUCAUCUUGUUGGUGGGGUGAUGGCCUACCAAGGCGACGACGGGUAGCCGGCCUGAGAGGGCGACCGGCCACACUGGGACUGAGACACGGCCCAGACUCCUACGGGAGGCAGCAGUGGGGAAUCUUGCGCAAUGGGCGAAAGCCUGACGCAGCGACGCCGCGUGAGGGAUGACGGCCU